rnacentral:tRNA from 1 species
GCGCCGUUAGCUCAAUUGGCAGAGCAGGGGCCUUUUAAGCCCAAGGUUCAGGGUUCGAGUCCCUGACGGCGCA